UACGAAGGGGGCUAGCGUUGUUCGGAAUUACUGGGCGUAAAGCGUACGUAGGCGGUUAUUCAAGUCCGCUGUGAAAGUCCAGGGCUCAACCCUGGAAUGCCGGUGGAAACUGUCGAGCUAGAGUCCGGAAGAGGCGAGUGGAAUUCCUGGUGUAGCGGUGAAAUGCGCAGAUAUCAGGAGGAACACCUGUGGUGUAGACGGCUCUCUGGACCGCAACUGACGCUGAGACACGAAAGCGUGGGUAGCAAACAGG
rnacentral:rRNA from 1 species